UAUGCAUUAAUGAGCCAAGCCAGCCUAUAUGUAUUGAGUUCGGGAUGUCAGAUCGUCAGUGCUCUUGAAGUAUUCGAUCUCCCUGCUGUAAGAGGAAUUAUUCUGGGACCAUGCACAUUUCGGCAAUACUGACCCUCCUUUUUGUCUGUCUUGUACAAAUCACACAAGCACAAUGGUGGGGAGACGACUCAAACGAAAGAUUUGACGACGAUGAUUCUUCCCCAUGGGGGUAUGGAAGGGGAGGAGGCAGACGACAAAGAUUUGGUAAUCGUUGGGGAAGCGACGAAGACGAUGAUGAUGAUGACUGGAGCAGGGGUAGAAUGUUAUCAAGAGGAUUUAAUCGUAUGGCUCCCCGGAGAAAUACCUGGGGUCGACAACAGCGAAUCCAACAACGAAACACACAGGGAGGAUGGUCGCCAAAUUUUUUAACUGGAUCCUCGUCAACGUAAUUACGCCAAACUCACGGAGGAUGAGGGGUUAUGACACUCCAGACUUCUUCGGUUUCUUCGGCUAAGUGACGUCACAUCCGGUUUCUGUCUUCGCACGUCGACUCAAAGUCACAUGGUCCUUGCAUCACUUCCGCGAACUACGGCAUUCAAUGCCAAUGUUUGAUUAGCUGCAUGUUUGGAUUUAAUUAUUGUUGUCCCAUUUCGCGUUAUUGUUUUAUGAAGUUUAUUCUGUGUUUAAAACAUGCGAUAAAAUAAUACACACAA